rnacentral:tRNA from 1 species
CUCGUUAGCUCAGUCGGUAGAGCAGUUGACUUUUAAUCAAUGGGUCGCAGGUUCGAGCCGAGCGAAGCGAGACAA